rnacentral:misc_RNA from 1 species
GAUGAAGAACGUAGCGAAAUGCGAUAAGUAGUGUGAAUUGCAGAAUUCAGUGAAUCAUCGAAUCUUUGAACGCACAUUGCGCCCCUUGGUAUUCCAUGGGGCAUGCCUGUUCGAGCGUCAUUUGUACCCUCAAGCUUUGCUUGGUGUUGGGUGUUUGUCCCGCGUUGCGCGUGGACUCGCCUUAAAGCGAUUGGCAGCCGGCAUAUUGGCCUUGGAGCGCAGCACAUUUUGCGCUUCUAGUCAUGAAUGUUGGCGUCCAUUAAGCCUAUACAUUUUCUCUUGACCUCGGAUCAGGUAGGGAUACCCGCUGAACUUAAGCAUAUCAAUAAGCGGAGGA